rnacentral:rRNA from 1 species
AUUGAACGCUAGCGGGAUGCUUUACACAUGCAAGUCGAACGGCAGCGCGGACUUCGGUCUGGCGGCGAGUGGCGAACGGGUGAGUAAUGUAUCGGAACGUGCCCAGUAGCGGGGGAUAACUACGCGAAAGCGUAGCUAAUACCGCAUACGCCCUACGGGGGAAAGCAGGGGAUCGUAAGACCUUGCACUAUUGGAGCGGCCGAUAUCGGAUUAGCUAGUUGGUGAGGUAACGGCUCACCAAGGCGACGAUCCGUAGCUGGUUUGAGAGGACGACCAGCCACACUGGAACUGAGACACGGCCCAGACUCCUACGGGAGGCAGCAGUGGGGAAUUUUGGACAAUGGGGGCAAGCCUGAUCCAGCCACCCCGCGUGUGCGAUGAAGGCCUUCGGGUUGUAAAGCACUUUUGGCAGGAAAGAAACGUCGCGGGCUAAUACCCCGUGGAACUGACGGUACCUGCAGAAUAAGCACCGGCUAACUACGUG